rnacentral:sRNA from 1 species
AUGGAGAAAUUAAUUAUUCUACUGCUCUGGUUACAGUAUGUUGUUAAGAUCUCAAAAAAUUUUCAUUAUAUACCAAUGAAUAAACAAACAACAGAAGUUUUUAUUGAAUGGGAUGAAUUUCCUAAGGGAGGAAAUCCUGAAUUUUAUUUUUUAAAAUAUCAACUUGUUAAUGAUUUUGCUCAAAGAAAUGUAAAAAGUAUUCUCGCAGACCCACAAAGACGUCAGAAAUUAAUAAUAACACUAAAGGAAAAUGAAGAUUAUCACAUCAUUUUACAGUCCAUGAGAUAUGGACAAAUUUUAAGUGAAAAGUCAUUUCAAAUUCGUGGAAUCUCAACUAGCAAUAUUAAAACAAUAGCAACAAGUACAAGUGUUUCUUUUAACUGGAGUGCGCCCUCUUCCAAAGAUAUAUCAGUGUCAAUAUCUUUCAAUAAUUAUUCACAAAUUAUGCAAAAUAAAGUUAUGGUUUAUGAGUGGGGUAAUUUAAAACCUGCAGCUUUUUAUGCUUUCACAUUUGAAUUUAAACAGUUACACUUGGAUUUCAUAAAUAUAUUUCAGAGACUGGAUGUUCAAGUUGAAACAGGAUCGUGUUCACAAGGAUGGGCAGCAUUAAAAAAUAACUGUUAUAGAAUUAACAAUGACAGUAAGCCAUGGAAUAUAGCCCAGCAACAUUGUAAGUUAUCCUUAAGUUCUGCACACCUUGUGGAUAUGAAAAAUGAAGAGGAAAAAAAUUUUGUAUUUUCGUAUCUCAGGUCAAACAAUCAAAUAAUAAUAUGGACUGGUCUUAAUGAUAUGAAGAAAGAAGAUCUUCUUACAUGGGCAGAUGGAUCAUCUUUUGGCCUUAAGAAAAAUGAAAUAUUUUCUUUUCCAUUGCUAUCCAAGAAUGAAACACAUUGCUACAUUUUACAGCAAAAUGCAACUGGAUCAAACUAUUUCUUUACAAGAUUUUUCUGUUACGUUCCAUUGCCGUAUGUUUGUGAAUAUGAAUGUAAUUAUUUUUAUUAUUCUUUCUUAUAUUCAUGCAGCUUUUUAUUAUUUAAUUUUAAUUUAUUUAUUUCAUUAUGGAAUUAUAAUUUGUAAU